rnacentral:rRNA from 1 species
GACGAACGCUGGCGGCGUGCUUAACACAUGCAAGUCGAACGGAAAGGCCCUGCUUGCAGGGUGCUCGAGUGGCGAACGGGUGAGUAACACGUGGGUGAUCUGCCCCUUACUUUGGGAUAAGCCUGGGAAACUGGGUCUAAUACUGGAUAGGACCAUGCUGUAGGUGGUGUGGUGGAAAGAUUAGUUUCGGUAAGGGAUGAGCUCGCGGCCUAUCAGCUUGUUGGUGGGGUAAUGGCCUACCAAGGCGUCGACGGGUCGCCGGCCUGAGGGGGUGGACGGCCGCAUUGGGACUGAGAUACGGCCCAGACUCCUACGGGAGGCCGCAGUGGGGAAUAUUGCACAAUGGGCGCAAGCCUGAUGCUGCGACGCCGCGUGGGGGAUGACGGCCUUCGGGUUGUAAACUCCUUUCAGCCAUGACGAAGCCCUUGUGGUGACGGUAGUGGUAGAAGAAGCACCGGCUAACUACGUG